UACGUAGGCAGCGAGCGUUGUUCGGAGUUACUGGGCGUAAAGAGUGCGUAGGCGGUUUUCUAAGUUUGGUGUGAAAUCUCCCGGCUUAACUGGGAGGGUGCGCCGAAGACUGGAAGGCUUGAGUAUGGGAGAGGUAAGCGGAAUUCCUGGUGUAGCGGUGAAAUGCGUAGAUAUCGGGAGGAACACCUGUGGCGAAGGCGGCCAUCUGGACAACUACUGACACUGAGACGCGAAAGCGUGGGUAGCAAACAGG
rnacentral:rRNA from 1 species